ACCGCGAUGGCUCAGCUGAUAGAGCAUCUGCCCGGUUUGCAGAGGGUCGCCGGUUCGUUUCCGGCUCUGGGCG
rnacentral:tRNA from 1 species